UUGGGGGACUUUAAUGAAAUAUUAUAUUCUUCGGAGAAAGAGGGCAGUAAUGCGAGACCAAAUGGCAUGAUGAGGGAGUUCCGUGAAUGUCUUAUGGAUUGUGGGCUGGAGGACUUAGGAUACACCAGCGAUCCUUUUACUUGGAGUAGAGGUGAUAUUCGAGAGCGUCUUGACCGCGCAGUGUGCAAUGUAGGGUGGGCUCAUAAAUUCCCUCGUGUUGUAGUGAUCAACGAAGAACAUGUUCACUCUGACCACCGUCUUUGGUCCUGGACAUGGACUAUUUGGACGAUAACAUUUUUAGAGGACCAACUGGGUGUGUAA
rnacentral:rRNA from 1 species